GAUGAACGCUGGCGGCGUGCCUAAUACAUGCAAGUCGAGCGAACGGACGAGAAGAUUGCUUCUCUGAUGUUAGCGGCGGACGGGUGAGUAACACGUGGAUAACCUACCUAUAAGACUGGGAUAACUUCGGGAAACCGGAGCUAAUACCGGAUGAUAUUUUGAACCGCAUGGUUCAAAAGUGAAAGACGGUCUUGCUGUCACUUAUAGAUGGAUCCGCGCUGCAUUAGCUAGUUGGUAAGGUAACGGCUUACCAAGGCAACGAUGCAUAGCCGACCUGAGAGGGUGAUCGGCCACACUGGAACUGAGACACGGUCCAGAUUCCUACGGGAGGCAGCAGUAGGGAAUCUUCCGCAAUGGGCGAAAGCCUGACGGAGCAACGCCGCGUGAGUGAUGAAGGUCUUCGGAUCGUAAAACUCUGUUAUUAGGGAAGAACAUAUGUGUAAGUAACUGUGCACAUCUUGACGGUACCUAAUCAGAAAGCCACGGCUAACUACGUG
rnacentral:rRNA from 1 species